rnacentral:rRNA from 1 species
AGACGUCUACGAGUUUGAUCCUGGCUACAGAACGAACGCUGGCGGCAGGCCUAACACAUGCAAGUCGAGCGCCCCGCAAGGGGAGCGGCGGACGGGUGAGUAACGCGUGGGAACGUACCCUUUGCUACGGAAUAGCCUCGGGAAACUGGGAGUAAUACCGUAUGUGCCCUUCGGGGGAAAGAUUUAUCGGCAAAGGAUCGGCCCGCGUUGGAUUAGGUAGUUGGUGGGGUAAUGGCCUACCAAGCCGACGAUCCAUAGCUGGUUUGAGAGGAUGAUCAGCCACACUGGGACUGAGACACGGCCCAGACUCCUACGGGAGGCAGCAGUGGGGAAUCCUAGACAAUGGGCGCAAGCCUGAUCUAGCCAUGCCGCGUGAGCGAUGAAGGCCUUAGGGUUGUAAAGCUCUUUCAGUGGGGAAGAUAAUGACUGUACCCACAGAAGAAGCCCCGGCUAACUCCGUG